GAUCUUACUGUGAUUCGAACUCGGGACCACUCACGUACUGAGCGAGUAUCAUACCCCUAGAUUACCAAGAC
rnacentral:tRNA from 1 species